GGAGGCAAGAGGAGAGACCCGAAGCGGCCGCCGGUCCGCGUGUCAGGUGAACUGAACUUCAGGGGUCACAACAGCAGAUCACUUGAGAGAGGCGUCUGUCAUCCCACCAUCGCCAUCACCCAAACUGUCAAGGAAGAAAACUUGCAGAAGAAGAACCACUCAUGCAAAUCAUGAUGUUGCAGUUGGAGUGCAUCCAACCACAGCACUGGUUACUUUCUUUGGGGGCAACUCAAAGACGUCACGUAUUACCACACUGGUGACCAGCUGGCAGGGAAAAGAGAAAAUGGAACACUGUUCAUUUGCAAUAACUUUACUUUCAAAAUAAGAGCAAAGGAUUUUUCACUACCAGGGUGACUGCAUUCUUCUCUGAUAUAAUAAAAAUACAUUGUAAAACGUACUUGGGCAGUCAUUAAUAAACCUGGAUGACUUGCCAAGUAAAGUGUGUGUGGAAAACAGUGACUUGAAAACGCCCUGUGAGGAAAGAUGUUGCCUCUCUGUGAAUGGAUUUCAUCAGUCUUGGCUGAUGUUUCAUGUGUGUUCCAGCAGUGCCAAGGUACCACUGCAGAGUUACAGGCCCUCCUCCUCCUCUCAUUAUCCCAUGCAGAUGUUCAGCGCCGGACCCUCACCAUAUCAGCAAUCAACCACCUGUUCCAGAUGAGCUCAUCAUCAGGACAGUACUUAAGAUCUUCCUUGGAUUUUCCCCUCACUGGAUUGCUUGAACAGCCCUUUUCCCUGGAUUGUUGGAGCCCCUGUUUCCUCCAUCACAACCUGUAUAUAACACCCUGGUGUUUCACUGUAAAUA